rnacentral:rRNA from 1 species
UACGGGGGGGGCAAGCGUUGUUCGGAAUUACUGGGCGUAAAGGGUUCGUAGGUGGCUCGCUAAGCCAGACGUGAAAUCCCUCAGCUUAACUGGGGAACUGCGUCUGGGACUGGAGAGCUGGAGUGCAGGAGAGGAAUGCGGAAUUCCAGGUGUAGCGGUGAAAUGCGUAGAUAUCUGGAGGAACACCGGUGGCGAAGGCGGCAUUCUGGACUGCAACUGACACUGAGGAACGAAAGCCAGGGGAGCAAACGGG